AAUUAUAUAAGGGAGGUCUUGCCUGCCCAGUGACUAGUUAAACGGCCGCGGUAUUUUGACCGUGCGAAGGUAGCGCAAUCACUUGUCUUUUAAAUGAAGACCUGUAUGAAUGGUGGAACGAGGGCUUAACUGUCUCCCCUUUCAAGUCAAUGAAAUUGAUCUGCCCGUGCAGAAGCGGACAUAUAAAUACAAGACGAGAAGACCCUUUGGAGCUUAAGAUAAAAGAUCAACUAUGUCAAGAACUAAAAGUUAAACUAAAUAGUAACUGAUCCUUAUCUUCGGUUGGGGCGACCGCGGGAGAAAACAAAGCUCCCGCGCGGACUGGGAUACCCCCUAAAGCCAAGAAAGACAUUUCUAAGCCGCAGAACAUCUGACCAAUAAGAUCCGGCUACAUGCCGACCAACGGACCAAGUUACCCUAGGGAUAACAGCGCAAUCCCCUUUCAGAGUCCAUAUCGACAAGGGGGUUUACGACCUCGAUGUUGGAUCAGGACAUCCUAAUGGUGCAGCCGCUAUUAAGGGUUCGUUUGUUCAACGAUUAAAGUCCUACGUGAUCUGAGUUCCAGACCGGA
rnacentral:rRNA from 1 species